AAUGAACGCUGGCGGCGUGGAUAAGACAUGCAAGUCGAACGAAGAAGUGAUUAGUUUACUAUGAGCUUCUUAGUGGCGAACGGGUUAGUAACGCGUGAGCAACCUGCCUUAAAGUGGGGGAUAGUCCUGGGAAACUGGGUUUAAUACCGCAUGUGUCCUUCGGGAUAAAGCUAGCUUCGGCUUGCUUUAAGAUGGGCUCGCGUCCUAUCAGCUUGUUGGUGAGGUAAAGGCUCACCAAGGCGACGACGGGUAGCUGGUCUGAGAGGAUGAUCAGCAACACUGGAACUGAGACACGGUCCAGACACCUACGGGUGGCAGCAGUCGAGAAUCAUUCACAAUGGGGGAAACCCUGACGGUGCGACGCCGCGUGGAGGAUGACGGCCCUAGGGUUGUAAACUCCUGUCAUCAGAGAGUAAAGCUUUGCGAUUAAUACCCGUGGGGGUUUGAUAGUAUCUGAAGAGGAAGGGACGGCUAACUUCGUGCCAGCAGCCGCGGUAAUACGAAGGUCCCAAGCGUUGUUCGGAAUUACUGGGCGUAAAGAGUGCGUAGGCGGCUAGGUAAGUCAGAUGUGAAAUCCCGGGGCUCAACCUCGGAACUGCAUCCGAUACUACCUGGCUAGAGUAGUGGAGGGGCAUCUGGAAUUCUCGGUGUAGCAGUGAAAUGCGUAGAUAUCGAGAGGAACACUAGUGGCGAAGGCGAGAUGCUGGACACUUACUGACGCUGAGGCACGAAGGCCAGGGUAGCGAAAGGGAUUAGAUACCCCCUGUAGUCCUAGCAGUAAACGAUGUGCGCUUGGUGUGGGAAGGUUCGACCCUUUCCGUGCCGGAGCUAACGCGUUAAGCGCGCCGCCUGGGGAGUACGGUCGCAAGACUAAAACUCAAAGAAAUUGACGGGGACCCGCACAAGCGGUGGAGUAUGUGGCUUAAUUCGAUGCAACGCGAAGAACCUUACCUAGGCUUGACAUGUAUCGCUAAUCUGCUGAAAGGCAGUGACUCUUCGGAGACCUUACACAGGUGCUGCAUGGCCGUCGUCAGCUCGUGUCGUGAGAUGUUUGGUUAAGUCCAGCAACGAGCGCAACCCCUGUGGAUAGUUGCCAGCAAGUAAUGUUGGGGACUCUAUCCAGACUGCCCAGUUCAACUGGGAGGAAGGUGGGGACGACGUCAAGUCAGUAUGGCCCUUACGCCCAGGGCUGCACACGUACUACAAUCCCCAGCACAAUGUGAACCGAUACCGCAAGGUGGAGGAAAUCCCUAAAACUGGGCUCAGUUCGGAUUGUGGGCUGCAACUCGCCCACAUGAAGCUGGAAUCGCUAGUAAUGGCACAUCAGCUACGGUGCCGUGAAUACGUUCCCGGGUCUUGUACACACCGCCCGUCACAUCAUGGAAGCCGAUCGCACCCGAAGUAUCUGCGUCAACAUAGACAGGGUCCUAAGGUGUAGUUGGUAACUGGGAUG
rnacentral:rRNA from 1 species